UUUUUUUUUUUUUUUUUUUUUUUUUUUGGUCUUUUUGCCUUUUCUAGGCCACUUCUGCGGCAUAUGGAGCUUCCCAGGCUAGGGGUCUAAUCAGAGCUGUAGCUGCUGGUCUACACCAGAGCCACAGCAACAUGGGAUCUGAGCCGUGUCUGCGACCUACACCACGGCUCAUGGCAACGCCGGAUCCUUAACCCACUGAGCAAGGCCAGGUAUUGAACACACAACCUCACGGUUCCUAGUCAGAUUUGUUAACCAAUGGGAACUCCUUUUUUUUUUUUUUUGCACCACACAGUGGCAUAUGGAAGUUUCCUGGCCAGCGAUCAAAUCUGAGCCGCAGCUGCAACCUGUGCCAUAGUUCAGCAAUGCGUGAUCCUUAACUCACUGUGCCGGGCUGAGGAUUGAACCUGAACCUCCUCAGGGAUCUGAGCUGCUGCAGUCAGAUCCUAAACCCACUGUGGCACAGCAGGAAUUCCCAGCUUGUCAUCUUAAAUGUUGAGGGCUUCUGGAGUUCCUGCUGUGGCGCAACAGGAUCGGCGGCAUCUUGGGAGCACUGGGAGGUAGGUUCAAUCCCCAGCCUGGCACAGUGGAUUAAGGUCCAGCAUUGCCACAGCUACAGCAUCUUAGGUCGCAGCUGCGGCUCGGAUCUGAUCUCUGGCCGGGGAACUCCAUAUGCUGAGAGGCAGCCAAAUAAAAUAAAUGUUGAUGGUUCUUGCCUUGCCUUCCCCUAGUUCUGUCUCCCAUUUCUCAGCUCUGCACACCCCGGCCUCACCUCAUCCUUUCCCAAGCCCUCGCCUUUGCCCAUGCUGUCCCUUCACCUGGACAGUCCUUCACCCAAAGCUCUGUGCGUUCGAUUCCCAUCUGUUCUUCCAGGCCUGCCCCAUGCUAACUCUGCAGAAUAUGGCCCCAACUCUCCUCCGCCCCCAUGCCCCGACCCCAAAUAAUUCUGGCCUCCUGGGAUCCUCCCAAGCACUCCACCUGACCCUCCUUCCUUACAUAGCAACCCCCUGUGUGUCUGAGUGGGUGUCCACACCCUGCCAUUCCCCCAGCAGAGGAGCCCCCAGAGUAGGGCCUCAGCACCCCGCACAGGACCUGGCAUGGAUAAAGGCUCUGCAUCAUGGAUUCUGAGCCUUAGAGCUGGCCCGGGCGGGGGCGGGGGGGGGAGUAAAAAUGGCUCAGAGUAAAAGGCAGCGCCUACCACUGCUUCCUCAGAGCCAUGGCCCCUCACUGGUCUCCCCAGAGCCCACCUUCACCCUCCAGCAGCCAAAGUCAGCCUUGGCUGCCAAUCAGAUUCCACUCCUCCUUGGCCUGAAACCCCUCGAGGAUAAGCCCCUCAGUUCAAGGAUCUCCAGGACCCGAGCAGCUACUUCGAGGGCCGCCUGCACAGCUCCCAGUCGCCCCUCUCCUCUAAAGACGGCACCUCCGUCCCCAAGCCGAGGGCGUCACUGUCCCGUUUGUACCUCACACCCUCGCCCCGUCACAGGUGACAGGACCUCCCUGGACCCGCCUGGUCCAAGUUCAGCCAAUUUAAGUGCCCUCUCCCCCUCCCCAUUCUCCUCCCCCUCUGGGAAGUGAAAGGUGUAUGAGCGCUCCAGGGCUCCAGGGCCGAGGGGAGGUUAUCAACGGCAAGGGCCGAUGGAGGGGAGGGGCAGGACGGAGGGAAAGAAGACAGACUCUGAGAGACAAAAAGAUCCCCAGAGGUUUCAUGGGCCACGCCCAUCCCUCCCCCAGACCCAGUCCCAUCCGGUUCCAGGAGAGGCUCCCGUUUCCUCAAACACCGUCUGGUUUCUGUGAAAUGUGGAAAAGAUGGAGCAAAGUUGGCUCAUCUGGACACGUACAGUUUGGAACAAACAUCAUGUGUUUGUUUCUCUUGUUUUUUGUUUUAGGGCCGCGCCCACAGCAUACAGAGGUUCCCAGGCUAGGAGUCUAAUCGGAGCUGUAGCCGCCAGCCUACACCACAGCCACAGCCACGCCAGAUCCGAGCCGCAUUCAAGACCUACGCCACAGUUCACGGCCACACUACAUCCUUAACCUCCUGAACCAGGCCAGUGAUUGAGCCCGCAUCCUCCUGGAUACUAGUUGGGUUCUUAACCCACCGAGCCGCAACAGGAACUCCCAAACAUCGUGUGUUUGGAAGAAAUACUCUUGAGAAGCCAUUUGGGGAGCCAUAGGGAUGUGGGGGUGUACCUUCCAAAGGCUUAUCCCCACUUCACAAAGUGGUGGGGAGGCUGCCCCUCCCCAAGCAGCAGGUGAAAGCAACUUGUUACUUCUAGAACAGUCUGUAGUAUGGAUUCCAGAGAACCAACCAUCUCUGUCUAACCCCUGCCCUGCCACGGACUAACAGCCUAAGACUGGACCAGUUCUCUCUGGCUCUUUCCUCAUCUGUAAAACAGGCGGGCUGAUGAUAAUAGUGCCCACCUCGAGGGGGUUUUGUGAGGAUCAAGAAAGUUACUGCGUGGAAAGCAGAUGGCAGUGCCUGUCAAGGGCAAAUACCAAGUCUUAGCAAAAGUGGGAACAGGUGUGGCUGCAAAGCGCCUCACGGCCUGAGAUAAACUCAGGUGUGUAAACUUAAGCCAGGAUCUGGGGCACAAGUGAGUUUGAGAAAAAAAGAGCUUAAAGUGGAUUAUUCACCACUGCGUUCCCGGGGGUGUCCUGGACACAAGGCAGCUCCCGUCCCUGCUCUCACAGAGCUCCCAUUCUAGAAGGGGACCGGCAAUCAGCAAGGUCCCUGUAGAUGACAACUACAAAGACAACAGAAGCCAGGAGGGUGACGAGGGUGGCUGGAGGGCUUCUUCAGGCAGGACUGAGAAAGAACGAACCGCUGCAGGCACCAGCCAUGCGGAGGGAAGCUGGCAAUAGGGAAUGGCAGGUGCCAAGGCUGGUGGGGGGGAGCGAUGCCAGCAAAGCAGGGAGCCACCGGUGAGAGGGCAGGACAGAGCCGAUCCCCCGGGCAGGCAGCCAGGCAGGGGCAAGGGAGAACAGCACGUCUCAUACGGUUCUCUUAGGCCCUUUGCUGUAAAGCAUGAACUGAAACAGCCCCGUCUGUCUCUGCCUUAACCUUCAGUCCACGCCACCUUGCUCCCGAACCCUUCCGGGCAAGGUCUCUUUCGGGGAACAGGGGAGAUUCUGAAGUCACUGAGGAAUAAAAAGCCAAGACAGCAGGGACAGCUACACAGUGGGGCGGCUGCCUCCAAGCCUCUCUUCCUCCAGACUUAGCCCUUCCUUAAAAAGAGUCCACGACAAGAGCCCAAGGCUGGUUAACCUGACGUAAGAAAGAAGCUGCGAGAACUCACCUUGGUCCCAGCUUCAGCAGGGCGGCUCCCUCAGGGACCUCGUGAGGAGAGGCAGGAGCGCUGAUCUGGGCGUCCAGCAGAGUGGGCAUCAGUCUUUGCCACUUGUGUGCUGGAUGCCUGGGCGAGUCUCCCAAGCACCUUGCUCUGUAAAGACUGGUUACGUGUUCCUGGGGAAGAUGAGUGGGCCUUGAACACCACGCCGGAAGGUGUCCAUCUCAAGAGACGGGUGCUCGUUGUCCCAUUUUUCCCUCCUAGGGGGCGGGUCAGGGGGACAGCUACCCCUUGAUGAGGGCUUUCUGGGUGCCAGGCACACGCUAAAGAUAAAAGUAGCCAUAAAGACUUUAAAAAGGAGUUCCUGCUGUGCCUCAGCAGAAACGAACCCGGCCAAUAUCCACGAGGAUGCAAGGUCCAUCCCUGGUCUGGCUCAGAGGGUUAAAGAUCCGGAGUUGCCAAGAGCUAUGGUGUGGGGUACAGAUGCAGCUUGGAUCUGGCAUGGCUGUGGCCAUGGCGUAGGCCACAUUGCGAAAUCUGAGCCAUCUCUGCGACCUACACCACAGCUCAUGGCAAUGCCAGAUCCCCAACCCGCUGAGCAAGGCCAGGGAUCAGACCUGCAUCCUCAUGGAUGCUAAUCAGAUUCGUUCCCGCUGAGCCAUGACAGGAACUCUUCUUAUCCCCCUUUUAAAAUGGGAAACCAAGGCCCAGAGAGGUCAGGGGCUCCUCACCAAGGUCACAGGGUUGGAAGGCAGCUAAGCUGGGAUUUGAACCUCGGUCUGCCUGGCUGCAAAGGACAUAACUGUCACACCAAGCCACAGAAAUGCCAGCUCUGUGGGAAUAACAAGCAGACAAGUAGGCAGACUCCUCCAAAGUCUGAGGACGGGGGACAGGCAGGGAGGAACCAGCUCAGAAUGCAGGGGCAGGGCUCCCUCCCAGGCCCCUGGAGCUGCUGAGAGGCUGGGCCAGGACGGCCAGGGAGAAAUGUGCCAUUUCUUCCAGGCUACACCCACCUCCCACCACCCCUCCCUCAGGAUGCCAGGGGGUGGUUUUUCAACCCAGACUUUCCAACCUCACCCCUCCCUGGGCGGCCAGACGCCUGGGCCCCCCACAGCCCGCCACCAGCCCUGUCUCCCUCCUGGAGCGGCCGGAAGCCCGCAGUCGCUCUGCAGACACCCCCUGAUGGAAACAGCUCAUUAUAGGGUGGGGGAAAUGUGCUAGAACAUUAGCUGAAUAAAUCAAGCGCUCCCAGAGCCCACAGCCACUGCUGCUGCUGCCGCCGCCCAGCAAAGCAGGGCCACGGCGCCCACCCCCGCUGGGUCCGGGGGAGCAGAGAGGGGGCAGAAUGCCGGCAGGGCCAGCUUGCACCCUCACCCUGAAGCUGCCUCCCCGUGGAGAACAGAAGCCUAUGUGUGCUGAUGGCUUGGGAACCCAGGCCGCAGGGGGGGUUGAAUCCCAGUGCUGCCUGCCACUUGUUAGCCUGCAGCCCAGAGUCAGGAAGGGCCUCCUGGAGCCUCUGCACCUUUAUCUGGACAAUGAAGCAAUAACAGGCCCUACUGACGGAGGGCCUCUGACAGCCGGUGCCCCCCGCAACUCACUGCAACUACAUGAGAGCCCGUGUCUUGCAGAAUGGUGGGAUUUAGAGCAUGUAGGCAGGCUCUUUCCAGUGCUGCCAACCCUCUCCCCAAGGUCACUACCAACCCCUGGCACACCCACACACUCUACAUGAGGGGAGACCUGCGAGGCAGCCAGGUCCUGCAGGGUGGUGGCACCUGCAGGGCAACAGACCUCCCCUCCUGCGUAUCCAGCAGGCUGGCUUCCCCACCAACUCCACCCUUCCUCAGACAAGGAGACCCCAACCAAGGGUAAAGGGGCUGCCAGGGAUCAGGAGCCCCAGGUUUCCUGCACCCUGAUGCCCUUGUGUCCCUGCUACAUACCAAGUCCUUCCCAGCCUCUGCUCCCACCACAACCAGGGAGCAGUGAAGGCCUGGCCCCAGCUGCCGUCCCUUCUAGCUGCGGCUCAGGUGUGAACCCACUGACAGCCUGCAGAGACUCCUCCCUCCCUGGGCAAGACUCAGCCUAGAGGAUCCUAAGCAGGCACCCACUUACACCCCCUCCCCUCCCCACUGGUCUAGGUAGGGGUGGGGGUGUUGCAACACCAGAGCUCCUUAGCCGGGAAAGCCACUGCGAGAGAGCUAAUUCCUCCUGCUCUCUGGGGGGUGGAGAGAGGGCUAGAGAGGAAAAAAAAAAUUCAAUUACUAGACCAUCUAUUUGUCAACUCCUCCCUUCCCAUUGACUUAAUUUUCUCCAGCCAGACCCAGAGUCAGAGAGGCAGAAGGAGUGAGCCCACCAGCCCGGCAAGGGAGGAAGAAAAGAGAACUGGAACAGGGAGACAAGAGGAAGCCCCCAAAUGGACCCAGGGGUGAGCCUGUUAAAUGCACACCAAGGCAGGAUGCCUCAUUUGGGCCAAGAAGGAAUAAGCAGCACCAGAGAUGAGGAACAGAUAUUCCUGUGUGUCUAGCCCUGCCCAGGGACUCAGAGCAGCAUCACCUCCUCCAGGAAGCCUUCCCAGAUCUCCCAGGCUGGGUUAGGAGCCUCCUCUGGGCUCCCACCACCCCUAUGGUUCCCCCAAUAUGGGCUGUUAACUUUCAUUCAUGUACCCAACAAACAUCUGUGGAGCAUAGUAUGUGCCUGGCUAACUGCUGGGAACAGAGCUGAAAACAAAAGCUAUGGUCUACCAGGAAAGACUGAUAAUUAAAUAAGUAUAAACCCAUGUGGAUUAUCUACUGCUGUGUAACAAAUCGUAUCAACCCUUCCUGGCUUAAAAUAACAGCAAUCGCCGUCUUCCCUCCCGUGAUUUCUGUGGGCAAGGAAGU
rnacentral:lncRNA from 1 species